UUUUCAUUUGCAUACAUUUUCAUAUAUUUUGUUGAAAAUAAUAGACUAGUGAGGACCGGGCUUAGAGGAGUCAGUGUGAAGGGAAGGCUAAGGAUGCGCCGGUUCUGGAGAGUAGAGAAUACGCCUUCCUUCUCCUCUACCCCUCCAGGCACCUUAUUUUAAAAAAAAACAAAAACAAAAACAAAAAACCAACAACCUUGUAUUUAAAAGUCUAACCUUGGGAGUUGGCUGGAGGUGCAAUUCGCUACAAGAAAAGAUGUGGACUGUGAAAUUAUCCCUCCAACUUUAGGAUUUAUGGGUUGGGAGAAAGAACUUGGUGUCUGGACUCCUGCUGCUUCUUCCCAUUGAUGACACCUGCCUCUUCUGCUCAUAUUUCAUGAGUCAACAUGGCCACUCCUAACUUUGAAGUGACUGUAGACAUUCUAUGUUACAGUGAGCCUAGAAAGAAGAAGAGAAAUAUUUCAGUGAUGCUGUAAGUAUCCUGUACUGUUGAAAGCAGGUGAUUCCCAUCUCCUACUGAGUCACAGAUGAUUCCCAUCUCCUACUGAGUCACAGAGACCAAGAUCCAGCUGUAACCUUGGCUGAGAUUUCCACAACUGUGCCCAGGACUGUAAGACGGAUACUACCCAGCAGAUGAAAAAAUCAACAGUUGACACAAGAGACUUAACUUUCCCAAGAACCUCUAAUGGUCAAGUCAAGACCCAGGAUGCUCCCAUGAUGCCAGGCUGGGAGUUAACAAAAAAGAAUAACUGCCAUGGAAGGAUGGUCCCCUUGCCAAUUGGCACUUAUCAAAGGACACGGAGGGAGAGGGACAGAGUGCCUAGAUGUGAGCCUUCAUCAAGUGUUCUGAAGACCCUACCCCAAAGGAGAGUGCUCGGAAGAAGAAAUGACGCUCUGGAUAGGCCUUUCCUCAAAGCUGGAGCUGUCCAGGGGUGGCAAACAGGGUCCCUGGGAUGCCUCUUCCCUGUUGCUGAUUCCUACAAAUAAAGUUCUAUCGGAUAUGGA